CUCGCGAAUUUACACUGCCAGUGAAUGCAUUUUCUGUAGAUGAGCGUCACGACCGAUUGACCCGCUAACAGAAAGGUGGUUGAAAGUGGACUAAAUCUACGGAGUUAGUGACCCGUCAACCACUCUGUAUUGAGUCGGGACGAUCGAGUAUAGACCGCGCCUGAUUUGGCAUACGUGAGUGCAUAUGGGGCGAAUUUUAAACUUAUCAGUCAUGCUUGCAUGUCUGGUAGACCCUCGCCUCAGACUGGCUUACGUAAUGCACCCGCGCAUAUGGUCUGUGGCGUCAGUGUCAGUCACCCACCCGACCCGUCUUGAAACACGGACCAAGGAGUCUAACAUGUGCGCAAGUCAUUGAGUUUUAAAACUCAAAGGCGAAAUGAAAGUGAAAUUUGGUGGGAUUCUGAGUCUUCGGAUUUGGACGCACCACCGUCCCGUCUGAUCUGCAUGUCAGAUAGGCGGAGAAUGAGCGUACACGUUGGGACCCGAAAGAUGGUGAACUAUGCCUGAGCAGGAUGAAGCCAGAGGAAACU
rnacentral:rRNA from 1 species